AGAUUCUGGGAAUCAAGAGGCUCUGCAGGGGAUCCAUCAGGACCCUCACCCCCAUCCCCAAAUGCCCCAUCUAAAAGGGGUUGUGGUCAGGACCUGACCAGGCACACUCUGAUUCUCUUGUCAGUGCGGGUUGUGGGCGAACAGGCGUCCUGUGCACCGUGGAUUAUGUGAGGCAGCUGCUCCUGACCCAGGUACGAUGCAGGCAUCCCGUGUGUGCAGUGUGCUGCCCAUGACCACGUGUCCUGCUCAAGUGCCUUGUCUGUCUGCCCCAGAUGAUCCCACCUGACUUCAGUCUCUUUGAUGUGGUCCUUAAGAUGAGGAAGCAGCGGCCUGCGGCCGUGCAGACAGAGGAGCAGUACAGGUUCCUGUACCACACGGUGGCUCAGAUGUUCU
rnacentral:sRNA from 1 species